rnacentral:rRNA from 1 species
GACGAACGCUGGCGGCGUGCUUAACACAUGCAAGUCGAACGAUGAAGCCGGAGCUUGCUCUGGUGAAUUAGUGGCGAACGGGUGAGUAACACGUGAGUAACCUGCCCUUGACUCUGGGAUAACUGCGGGAAACUGUAGCUAAUACCGGAUACGACCAUCGGAGGCAUCUCCUGGGGGUGGAAAGAAUUUCGGUCAAGGAUGGACUCGCGGCCUAUCAGCUAGUUGGUGAGGUAAAGGCUCACCAAGGCGACGACGGGUAGCAGGCCUGAGAGGGUGACCGGCCACACUGGGACUGAGACACGGCCCAGACUCCUACGGGAGGCAGCAGUGGGGAAUAUUGCACAAUGGGCGCAAGCCUGAUGCAGCAACGCCGCGUGAGGGAUGACGGCCUUCGGGUUGUAAACCCCUUUUAGCAGGGAAGAAGCGAAAGUGACGGUACCUGCAGAAAAAGCACCGGCUAACUACGUGCCAGCAGCCGCCGUAA